rnacentral:rRNA from 1 species
UGAGGAACAUGACCUUCGGCGGGGGAUAGCCGGCCCAACGGCCGGGUAAUACCGCGUACGACCUUCCGGGGACAUCCCUGGAUGGUGAAAGCAGCAAUGCGCCGAUGGAGUGCCUCGCGGCCUAUCAGCUAGUUGGUGAGGUAACGGCUCACCAAGGCUACGACGGGUAGCUGGUCUGAGAGGAUGGCCUAAACCACAGUUGGGGACUGAGAUACCGGCCCAGACCUCCGUACGGGGAGG